CUCCUACGGGAGGCAGCAGUAGGGAAUCUUCCGCAAUGGGCGCAAGCCUGACGGAGCAACGCCGCGUGAGUGAGGAAGGCCUUCGGGUUGUAAAACUCAGUCACCUGGGAAGAGAGGUAUGGGGAGUGGAAUGCCCCAUACGAGACGGUACCAGGGGAGGAAGCCCCGGCUAACUACGUGCCAGCAGCCGCGGUAAUACGUAGGGGGCAAGCGUUGUCCGGAAUCACUGGGCGUAAAGCGUGCGUAGGCGGUCUUUCAAGUCCGGGGUGAAAACUCAAGGCUCAACCCUGAGAAUGCCUUGGAAACUGGGGGACUUGAGUACUGGAGAGGCAAGGGGAAUUCCACGUGUAGCGGUGAAAUGCGUAGAGAUGUGGAGGAAUACCAGUGGCGAAGGCGCCUUGCUGGACAGUGACUGACGCUGAGGCACGAAAGCGUGGGGAGCAAACAGGAUUAGAUACCCUGGUAGUCCACGCCGUAAACGAUGAGUGCUAGGUGUUGGGGGUUCAUCCCCUCAGUGCCGAAGGAAACCCAAUAAGCACUCCGCCUGGGGAGUACGGUCGCAAGACUGAAACUCAAAGGAAUUGACGGGGGCCCGCACAAGCAGUGGAGCAUGUGGUUUAAUUCGAAGCAACGCGAAGAACCUUACCAGGGCUUGGCAUCCCUCUGACCGGUUCAGAGAUGGACCUUCCCUUCGGGGCAGAGGAGACAGGUGGUGCAUGGUUGUCGUCAGCUCGUGUCGCGAGAUGUUGGGUUAAGUCCCGCAACGAGCGCAACCCUUGACCUGUGUUACCAGCACGUAAUGGUGGGGACUCACAGGUGACUGCCGGCGUAAGUCGGAGGAAGGUGGGGAUGACGUCAAAUCAUCAUGCCCUUUAUGUCCUGGGCUACACACGUGCUACAAUGGGCGGUACAACGGGAAGCGAGACCGCGAGGUGGAGCGAAACCCAAAAAGCCGUUCGUAGUUCGGAUUGCAGGCUGCAACCCGCCUGCAUGAAGCCGGAAUUGCUAGUAAUCGCGGAUCAGCAUGCCGCGGUGAAUCCGUUCCCGGGCCUUGCACACACCGCCCGU
rnacentral:rRNA from 1 species